rnacentral:misc_RNA from 1 species
CCGAGUUAUACAACUCAUCAACCCUGUGAACAUACCUAAAACGUUGCUUCGGCGGGAACAGACGGCCCUGUAACAACGGGCCGCCCCCGCCAGAGGACCCCUAACUCUAUUUUUAUAAUGUUUUUCUGAGUAAACAAGCAAAUAAAUUA